UACAGAGGUCCCAAGCGUUGUUCGGAUUCACUGGGCGUAAAGGGUGCGUAGGCGGUCGGGUAAGUCUGAUGUGAAAUCUCACAGCUUAACUGUGAAACUGCAUUGGAUACUAUUCGGCUUGAGAGUUGGAGGGGGGACUGGAAUUCUCGGUGUAGCAGUGAAAUGCGUAGAUAUCAAGUGGAACACCAGUGGCGAAGGCGAAUCCCUGGAAAAUACCUGACACUGAGGCACGAAAGCUAGGGGAGCAAACAGG
rnacentral:rRNA from 1 species